UGCAUCUGAGGCCAGUGAGGAUGAGAACCUCCGGGGGCAGGAGGUUCGACUCGAGCGAAGCGAGAGAACGUUGCGUCAGCAACGGCCCGCAGGGCGAGCCACGAAG
rnacentral:sRNA from 1 species